rnacentral:rRNA from 1 species
CCUACGGGAGGCAGCAGUCGAGAAUCAUUCACAAUGGGGGAAACCCUGAUGGUGCGACGCCGCGUGGGGGAAUGAAGGUCUUCGGAUUGUAAACUCCUGUCAUGUGGGAGCAAAUUAAAAAGAUAGUACCACAAGAGGAAGAGACGGCUAACUCUGUGCCAGCAGCUGCGGUAAUACAGAGGUCUCAAGCGUUGUUCGGAAUCACUGGGCGUAAGGCGUGCGUAGGCUGUUUCGUAAGUCGUGUGUGAAAGGCGCGGGCUCAACCCGCGGACGGCACAUGAUACUGCGAGACUAGAGUAAUGGAGGGGGAACCGGAAUUCUCGGUGUAGCAGUGAAAUGCGUAGAUAUCGAGAGGAACACUCGUGGCGAAGGCGGGUUCCUGGACAUUAACUGACGCUGAGGCACGAAGGCCAGGGGAGCGAAAGGGAUUAGAUACCCCAGUAGUC